AGCAACACGUUGACAGGAAGAGUACGUUCGGAAACUGCUCAGAGAGGGAUACAUAUGGUGAGAGUUAUCCUGCACGGAACGAACCGAAGACCACCCUGGAGUGUCCCUCAAUCGGGAACGGUGAUUCCGUUAUCAUCAAAUGAAGUGGUAUAGAAAUUCUAUACAAGCAGGGUGGAACCACGGGUAAUCUCGUCCCUUGA
rnacentral:ncRNA from 1 species